AGCAAACUGUGUUAGGUUUUAUUCUAGUUUGGCGUCGUAAAAGUUGUGAGGGGUGUGACAUAAGAGAGAGCUUUAGGGCAACGGUAAAAUACCGCUAUUUUCAUCAACUUCUUACUUUUUUGGUUAAGUAAGAGGUCCGUUAGAAUGGUAACUCUUGUUUCUAGUGUACAAGUGCUGGCUACUCGGUGGUUGUCUCGACUUACUUAGAUAACACUGCAAACGAAGAGUUUGAUGGGGGCAGUACAUCUGUCAAAUAAUAACGCACUUUUCCUAAAGCUAGUUAAAGAAGGCAGGAAAUCUUUAGUAACGUAAGGUAGGGACUCGCUCAACUUUAAUUUUCAGCACAAGUGUAGACGAUGGGACCUCGACCUAUCAAACUUUCAUGUUAGAGGACUUUUAGUAGUUGAUUUCAGACGGGUUAUCACAGAGAUAACUGGUUCGUGACAGUCAGUUGUCUAAAACACCGAUGCCUUUUAAUCAUUCGAUGCCGGCUCUUCCUAAUUUCUCAGGCAAUAUUCAUCGUUUGAUCAGAUCCCUAUCAAGGAGGAACAGGAGUUGGGCUGAGACUUUUGUGAGGCAGAUUAGUUU
rnacentral:ncRNA from 1 species